GUGUAAAACACAGUCACCUUAAAAUAAACAUAGAGGGAAAAAUGUAUCAGCUGUAUAAAUAGGCAAACCACAAGAAAAAAAAAAAAAUGUAAUGCUAGGACUGUGAAUAGAAAGUGCUUGUAUGCAAAGGAGAUGCCCUUAUUUUUCCCUUGUAGAAUCCAAUCAUUUAAACAGCUGGCCUAUUCUGUUACAUGGUGAUUUUAAAAACAUAAUUUCUUUAUGUGACUAAUGAGGUCUUUUCUUAUCCUAGGCUACUGUGUGUUGUAUGUGCAUGUGAAAAUGUUUUGGAUCAUUGUGUGUAGCCGCUGUGGCCAUUCUUUCAGCAGGAAUUCCACCUCUGGUAUCACAAUAGCUGUGAUCACAACUCCAUGCUGAUCAUCACCAGAGUCCAGUGUUCAAUUCAGAGGCAAUGUCAAAACGAGCAAGAGAAGAGAAGGAAAGAGAAAGAGAAGAGAAACCAGCCUGGAUUGAUUUAAAGAGCAGCCUAGCUUUUAUAGAAAGCAUAAGGAGUAGGAGUCCAAAAGCAAGCAUAUGCAGAGAGCCAUAUCUUAAAUACACGUCUUUCUGUGGACUUAAGGCUCCAAGAAGGUGAGAAAUGUAUUCACCUAGAGCACAUACUGUUGAACAAAUGAUGGACAGACAGCACUGAGUUCUUAUAGAAAGCAAAGACACAAAAAUUCACAGCUUCUCCAAUUCAUGCUGAAGGAGCACAACAUGAUUUUUUGAUACUCCGGCAAUAGUGUCUGACAACAGUAAAGGUUUAUAUGUCUCUAAAAACUGCAGGUAAUCAUAGCUUUUCUGAGG